rnacentral:lncRNA from 1 species
CCUCAUUCGCCUCCCCUGUGAGCCAAUUUUUUGGUCUGGUCGACUGGUUAAGUAUGACACAUGGCAAGUGAAAUGCUUUCAAUGAGAGCUUGAUAGGCGGCAGCCGAGGUGUGCUCACAGGAUCAGAACGGCAACAAGCUGACCUUGAGAAGCAUAUUGUGAAUGUGAAAUCUGUGAAUGUGUUUCAAAGUGAGGGAAAACUGAAUUUCUCAAACAUAACAAACAAACUCUUUCUUUCAACUCUUGGAAAAACAGCAGCUACCUGGCAGCUACUAACUGGCAGCAGCUACUGUUGUGGCAGCUCUCUGGUGCCCAUAAUUGAUGGUGCACUCCUGACUGAAGGGAGGGAGGAAGAAGUUGUCCGUGAUCAUGGAGGUGGAGGAGAGACAAAGUCACAACACCUGCUAUCAAAAAUGACACACACACACACAUGCAUGCACAAACAGACAAAGAUUGGCAUUCUUUCUCCAUCCAGCUGCCGGGACAUUGCCACCUCUUAGAUUUUCCUCAUUGUUGUAAACACAUUAAUUAAAGACAUUAAUUGAUUAGGAAAUAAAGCGGCC